GCAGGCUUUGAGUGUAUGUGUGUUCAUGAGUGGGAUUGUUUAUUGCAAGAGAUUAAAAUCGCAAGCUACAAGAAAAUUGAAACCAAAUGAUUCUUGUUCUUCUUAACUCUGUUUCUGUUGUAACAGGAAUUUCAAAGCAACUGAUUCACCAAAUCGGUCGUUACUUUUAAACUAAAUUUUAGCAUUUCUCCUAACAGUUUCUAAUAUUGAUUAUGAUGUUCAUAAAAUUAGAAGGAGCACCAUCAUUCUUCUUUUGAAUUCAUUGUUGGAUAAGUUCACCUUUUUCAAUAAUGAAAAUUGCAGGGGGCAUUUCCUUUUGAUGUGUCUUGAACGCUGGCUUGAGGUGGUUCACAGAUGUUACUAGACUGGCAAGUCCGUUUAAUAGGUUAUUGGGUAUUACAGUUUGUCAGAUGGAGUCCCAGUGACCUAGAAAGAGGCUAAUGCUAAAGAUUGCUUUACAGAUUUCUUUUGUUUUAAAACCAAGGGCUUUUUUGUGUGUGGAACCAAUUUGAUUUAUCACCAAUUCAGGGCCAUGUGCUGCUGCAUUUUCUACAAUUAGAUGAGGUACUGUUUUCAAAAAAGUGACGACCUUGCCUCAACAUUUAGUGAGAGCACAUACUAACAGCCAACUCCUUGCUGCAUCCUCACAGCACAAAGAUUUCUUUUUUUCAGUUGAGGAGUGUUCCAAGGUUAGACCUGUUGGUGGAAUAUUCUAAGAGGAAGCUCCCAUGUUUUUGUUCCAGGACUGUAGAGCCCAAUAUCCUUGGCAAGUGCUUCGUCUCAGAGAAUUACCAGUUCCUGUGUGUAUUCCCUCCAUUUCCACUCCUUUCCAGAAUCCUGUGGAAAGUAUAGGCAGAUAAAUCGCAAAUAUUCAAACAACAGUGUAGAAAACCAAGUUGUUGGAUUUUAUGAAAAUGAGUGGGUUUUUGUCCUACCCACCACCUUGUAUAGAGACCAACCCUAAUUUAGCAGGAGCUCAUUCUGGCUACAAAAAGAAACCUGAUCAUUUAAAAUUAAUUCUAAUUUUAAGCCUAUGGCACAUGAAAGUAAGUUUCAAGUGUACAACAGAUCCUUGCAGCAGCUGUACCCAAUCCUCAUGUAUAUUGAAAGUUUUUUUUUGGAGGGGAGGGGAUGUAGGAAAAGAGAAUUGAAGUGCUUACAUAAGAUUGGUGCACUGAAAAUAUGCUUUUUUUGUUCAGUUAAUAGUGGGGCACAAGUGCAUUAUUUAAUUUUUCAGCAAUUAUUUUCCAUAAUUUCCUGAUAAAAACACCUCAUCUAACUUCAUUUACUGUGAAAUUCUUUCCCUCUAUGAUCAUCCUCUUCCUGCCUCAAUUUGGUUUUCUUGCACUUCCUUUCCCUCUAGCUCAGCCUGUCAUUCUUCUGUCCUUUUCAUCCAAUUUAUACCAACAUUUCUACUUCCAUCUCCAAAUAGGUUCCACUUGGUGUUGGUGCAUCCACAGACUCUUAAUGCUUGUAUUUUUUGCCACUCCUCCUGUCCAACCCAAGAAAAAACACUGUUUGCAUUCUCUGCCUUGAAGUGGAAAAUGGAUGAUGUGCUAUAGCUAAUGUUAUUUUGGCGGGUGUACGUGGGAAUUCUUUUCCUCAUAAUUGCCUGAAACAGUAUGGAGGGAUAAGGAAUUGGUUUGUGUAGAUUUUGUCAGCAACGUUUGGCAUGAACUAAAGCCAUACUGACUUCCAGCUUGUAUAUCAUUGUAUACUUUUGUUUUAACUAAAGAGAUAAAAAUCUCAGCUGUAAUUCUAAUUGAGUCAAAUUCUUCAAUUGCAAAGACUUUCUCCUUAAGUAAUUGAUAUCAUGACUAAUGUAUUCAAAGCCCAAAAUUCAAAAUUGAAAUGUGUUCUUUAAUAGGAGGAUUUAAAAACACUGACUUAUGCAGCAAGAUAAAAUUGGUUUCAAAAAUCAAUAUGGAUGUGAAGUGACUUGCAAAGUUGCUGUCAGUGGAAGUCCAGAUUUACCCAUUGAUCCACUAGUGAAUUAUGAAAUGAGAAAAAUGUUAAUAAUUUGGCCAAGUAUUUCUAUAUAGUUUUUUUUUUGUUCAAUUUCUAUUUGCCCUCAACUGUUGGUACACUGUCUCCUGGAACCAUUAGCAUGCAGCUAGUGUGCUAAUGGCACCAGGUUAGGAAUUAAAAGCAAAUCUAAUAGUGGCAAUUCAACUAUUGUUCAUUUAUAUACACAGACAUUUUGAUUUUUGUUUUGAGGAGGAAGUCUACUACCCAUGACCUCAGAUGCUAAACAAUGCAGUGGACUCUUAACUGCUCUCUGAAGUAGUCUAGCAAGCUGCAAAUUUUGAUUUUUGUUUUGACAGUGUUCUAGGAAGUGUGUUGUUUUUAUUCAGAGGAUAUAAACAAUCACUGCACUAUCAGCAUUUGUUGUCCAUCCUCAAUUGCCCUUAAAAAGGGUGGUGAGCCAUCUCCUUGAACCUCUGUAAUCCAUUUAGAGUAGGUGGAGCCAGCAAUGUUAGAGAAAAUCAGGUCUUCUGAAGGAGAUAGGCAACCAAGCUAAAGCAUUCUUUUGAUCUCAAAACAAAUCCAGGAUAGUAGGGUUAGAUUAACGAUUUGUCCUGUGGUGGAUUCAUCACCUUUGAUAUGGAGGCCUUAUUAUGGAGCACUCUUUGAAUCCUUAAUGAAGAAAGUUUUAUGGCUAAGUCAAAACAUAUGCUGCCUGACCAGCUGUGCUUUUCCAGCACCACACUUUUUAAACUCUGAUCUCCAGCAUUUGCAGUCUUCACUUUCCUUAUAGGAAGUAGCAAUUUAAUUAACACAGCAUUAACCUUGGUGGAUGAUUAGGAAGUUUCCCAUUUUAAGAUUUAAAAAACAACUCUGUUAUGAACCCUCAACUUUGGUUCAACCAAGAUUAUCUGUAGAAAAUUCAGAAGCUGAGUGGCUAAUGGGAAGUUAUGAAGUCUCUGGUUAGCAAUGUGACUAUUUUGGAGCUGUUCCCCCCACCCCCACCCCCCAAAGUGCCUCGAGUCAUAGGUUAUCCUAGUACUAUCUGUAAUUGGCUCAAUUGCCAUUUGCAUUUUUUAAAUAGUUAGAAUUUUAGUUUGGGCAUCCUGGCUAUAAUCCUGAUGUGGGCUUUAAAAAGGAGGCACCCACUUACAGUUAGCAGUCCCUUAGAGGGUUCAGGACCUAGGAACUUCAACAAUAGAGAGUGACCCCUCUUCAGUUGGUAGUUUGAGCCCCUAUCACAAGCCAGACCUCAGUGUGCCUUUAAUCAUGUCCAGUGCAUUCCAGGGUUUUUUGGCUCCAAAAUCAUCAGUUUCUUAGGGUCUUGUCAAACUAAAUUGUGCUUUUAAAACAAAAAUGUUGGUGUUUAGAUUGUUGAUAGCCCAAUUCUGAAAAUAAUCAAUCAUAUUUGAGAACAAUAGCCUUCCACUUCCCUCUUCUGUAAGGCAUAAUAAUUCCAUCAGAAUACAUUGUUAUGCUCACAUUGAAUAUAUGUCCCCUUUAUCAAGUUUGUGUGAUGGGGAAAAUCAAUGGAUAUCAACUAAUGCUUUGACUACAUGUAUUGUCUUAAAUUUGACUAGAAGGGCCAUGUCAAUUUAAACUGAGGAAAAAGCUAUUUAAAUAUUGGUAUCUUGUGUAGUGGAUGCUUUUAACUGGUAAAAGAAAUAACCUCCAUAAAAAAGGCCAAAGGGAUGAUUUUCACUCAAUUUCUCAGAAUUUGGUUUGGGAUAAUAGUUGAGUGAUGGCUUGGUUUGCACAAGCUGCAGAUACAAAAUACUAUCUGCAUUAAUAAACUCUGGUCUUUUGUACCCUUUUAUCAUUGUAGGAUUUCAUUUUUCCCAUUGGGGUUGAGAUAAAUUCAAUCACCAAAUCCUGCUGUGUAUUUUCAAUGGUCACAAAUUCAGUCAAGGCGGUAAGUGAGCAAACAGAUUCUAGCACUGAGCAGACACUGCUAUUGCCUAAAAGUAUAUUACCUGAGGUAUACAAGGCAUGUUUUUCCAAAGGUAGACUGCAUUAAGCUUAGACAUAACUGUGGCCAGCUGCAAACUGUUGUAAUCCACCAGCGGUAUGGCAGACGAGUUGGAGGAUUAAUGGCUGGUGGGAGUAAAAAAACUAGUAACCCAACAAAAUACAUUGUACAAAAUCACACUAGUCAAUAACUAAUUAGUCAAUUAUUGAAGGGAAUAAGAGCAGGGAAGGUUAAAGGAGAUAAGAACUUGUGCUGCUGUUCGAUUUCCUCAUGACUGUUGCCCUGGUUGUAUCAUUUUAUAAAAAAGAUUGAAGGGUGUUUGAUUUUAAAGUUGAAAAGGAGCCUCUUCAGUCUAAAGAGACCAAGAAAAAUCUGCUUACACUCUCUCGUGUAGAAGUUGUGUUACAUUCUGCCUGGUGUAUGUGAUAAGAACAAGGAAAGGCCUUUUUUGAAAAAAAAAGUCCUAAAUGGGAUACAGAAGCAGAAAUUAUUGAAGGUGCAGGAUAUAUUGACAGUGGUUAAUACUGUUAAUUUAUAAAGCAACUUAGCCAUUAUACAAAGGGAGACUAUACAAAAGCAACAAACCUUGUGAAUUUUUUUUUAAGUAAAGCUCAUCCUGAGCUAGAGUAGUGUCCAAUUAGGAAAGCUAACAACUACUUGGAACAUAAAAAUAGGGAGGUUGAAACAGAAUCUGGAAAUAGUGUGCAGUACUGAUCAUCUUA